GACGAACGCUGGCGGCGUGCUUAACACAUGCAAGUCGAACGAAGAGCGAUGGAAGCUUGCUUCUAUCAAUCUUAGUGGCGAACGGGUGAGUAACGCGUAAUCACCUGCCCUUCAGAGGGGGACAACAGUUGGAAACGACUGCUAAUACCGCAUACGAUCUAAUCUCGGCAUCGAGGAUAGAUGAAAGGUGGCCUCUACAUGUAAGCUAUCACUGAAGGAGGGGAUUGCGUCUGAUUAGCUAGUUGGAGGGGUAACGGCCCACCAAGGCGAUGAUCAGUAGCCGGUCUGAGAGGAUGAACGGCCACAUUGGGACUGAGACACGGCCCAGACUCCUACGGGAGGCAGCAGUGGGGAAUCUUCCGCAAUGGACGAAAGUCUGACGGAGCAACGCCGCGUGAGUGAUGACGGCCUUCGGGUUGUAAAGCUCUGUUAAUCGGGACGAAAGGCCUUCUUGCGAAUAGUGAGAAGGAUUGACGGUACCGGAAUAGAAAGCCACGGCUAACUACGUG
rnacentral:rRNA from 1 species